rnacentral:misc_RNA from 1 species
CAGCCACAGCAGCAACAUGGCGGCACCCAUCCUUAGCAACGGAGACUCCUGGAAAGGCCUAAACUUUGUAAUAAGAGGAUGUUGCAAACCUUAAGAGUGGAGAUAUAGCAUAAAUCUUUACAUCUGUAAGAAGAGUAACGUCGUUGCCCAAAAAUCUGUGCCCAAUCGGAUAAAAAGGUUCGUUUUAAGACCACCUAGUCCCAGCUACCGUGGACAGAAGCACCUGCAGCAAUGAAAGCUGUUGACUUAAGUGAAGAAAACUUGGAAGAUCUCUUGGCCUAUGAUGACUUGUUUCUGGACUAUUUCAAUGCAUUCCUAGCCCUUCCUGCGUUUCCACAAGCCUUCUACUAUGACCGACUAACUGGUACGUUCCGUGAGGUUGAAGGCUCCUACAGCAGUGUUAACAGUAGUGUGGUGCUCCCAGAUCAUGCUCCGUAUGGUGCCACUGAUGAAGAGAGGGAACAUAUGCUAGAAUGGGCCAAACAAGAAAGAUUGCCUUUAUUUCUGAGAACCAAACUCUUCCGUGAGUUCAAGCUGUGCAAGCUCCUUCUGCGUAGCCUUGACGACAGGUAUUCCGCGGGAAGAGUGAGCAGUAAUGCCCUGAGAGGGUACAGUCGCCAGACGGGGACCUCUGUGUCCAGUCUCAGUAACAGUGCUGACAACAGUGCCAAUGAAGCAUCUGACUAUGAAGACAAUAUCAGCUGGACUGAAGUGAGGAAGUCGGCUCUAUAUAGAUAUGAGAGGCCAGGCAGUAGGGCACUAAGUCUGCCACCCAAGUUGGGUUUGGGUGAAAUGUCAGCGUCAUCGACUGGAGACCAGUGGUAUCUGGAUGACAUGACAGACAACAGAAGGAGACUGGAGGACAACAGCAAGACACCUAAAAGUGCUUCUGGCAAGAAAUCUAGGGGCCCCUCUCAGUCUCAGACUCCAGGCCUUGGCUUCCAGGGAGUAACAGACUCGGGCAUGGGGACUUCUCUGGAGCUGGAGAAAACUCUAACUACUAGAACUGAAACUUUAGCUUCCAUCAAUGAAAACGAGCAAGCUUACCCUUCUAAUGAGAAAAAAUCAAAAGAAAGGAGCUUAUCAAAACAGACUAGAGAUAGCACAACAUUGAGCAAAUUCUCAAAGAGAGAGAAAAAUAAAAGGGCUAUCUCUGCUCCAGUGAACUACAAUGAGUUCAUGAGGAUACCAACGUACAGUGACUUUGAUGCCAUAUUUGGCGAAGAGGAACCUGAUGAUGUAGAUGGAGAGGUUUAUGUCGCCUUCAAUGAGGAAGUUGUCAGCGAGCAACAGACAGAGACAGAUGUCCGCAAACUGGAGGGAAAACAUAACAUGACUCUACAGCAGAUGAAAGAAAUGGUGCUCAGUACAUUGGUUGGUUUUGAGGAUCUAAAAGCUUUCCUCCAAGAUACUUCCGGAAUACAUCUUCUGAAUUUCUGGCUUGACUGUGAAUUCUUCAAAGAUUCCAUGGAAGAUUAUGAUGAUAUGACUAACAUGGCAGUCAGAAACAGGCUGUUCAGGGACAUUCAGGACAAGUACAAAAUCAACUUGACAGAAGAUGCCCAAAUUCAGCUGAGGAAGACAGCAAGCAGCUCCAGUCUUAGUCACACCAUCUUUAUCCGUACUCAGUAUAAUGUACUGAGAAGACUGAGAGCAUACUGGGUGCCCAGAUACCUCAUACACAAGGAGAGGAUGGAUGAACUCAGUUCUAAACUUAAAAAGUACAAGUUCAUGGCCAGUGACUUAAACCUCGCAGCAGCCAACAAGGAAUUGUCUUCCUCCUUUCUUCCCUCCAUCUCUGUGGUGAACUCUCUGCCAGUGAAACCAGAUGAGAUACUUCACAUUGCCCAGACACGACAGUGGGACUUUGUUAUCAAGAGUGGCCGCCAAUGGGACGAUAGAGUUAGGUCAGCCAGGGUUAGGUUUAUACCCAAAGCACCACACAGGACCAUGCGUGAUAAGUUGCUGAUUGCUCUGUCUGCUGAUAAAGCUGCUGGAGGACCAUUUCAGAGAUACCUGGAAAAACAACAGAACCCAGAAUUACUUGCCAAUCAUUUAUUCUGGCAAGAUGUGUCAGAGUACAGUGCUGAGGAAGAUAGAUCUGCUGAUCGUCUGCUUCGGAUGACUCAUGCCUGGGGAAUAUACAACAAAUAUAUUGGAGGAAAUGUUAUUUAUAGUAUAAACAUGGAUCCCAAAGAAAGAGAUGUGCUUCAUCAGCAGUUAAUGGGUGCCAAAGAUUUCAUAGAAGCUUCAGUGUUCAACAGUGCUCAAGACCAUGCUGUUGAUGUGCUAGAGCAAGCCUGGGUGAGGUACCUGAAGGAGGAUCUCAAAACUUUUUUAGAAGUUCAAGCACGCUCUCAAGAAUCGGACUUUGAUUCCAUACACACAGCUGAGGAGAUAGAGGUUUCACUUGAAAAUGAACAGUUAGUUGUCAAGAGGUUCCAGAGGCCUUGGGUUAGGAGAGGAGAGAAUGGGAGCAGAUCACCUGGCUCUACUGGCUCAGAACGUGGUAGACGGCUAAGAACAGCUCUCUCAGUAGCUGAGGAAAUAGAUGAAGCCAGAAAGGCAGAAAAGAAGAAAAAAGCUUUAGAGAGAAGGAAAAAAAUGGAAAAAGAGCGUCGCAAAGCACUACGUGCAGCACGGGCAAGGCAAAGAGAGGCUAAGAGAAACAAAAAUGCACCAAUCAUUGAGCACAUCCCAGAAGAGAAAAAGGAGGGUGAAGAAGAAGAGGAUCAGGGUGAAAGAUUGUCUCCAGGGGGCCACUCUUUGUAUGGAGAUAUGGGGGGUGGAGGAUUGACCCCACCCCCUGUCCUAGAAGACAAACCUGUAGAACUCAAGGAUAUGGUCGGAAAUAAGCAGAUAAUCAAUAUGUUCAAGAAACACAUCCAGGAAAGCGAACCAAAAGAAAAACUGAAUAUGUUAAAUCUAUACUUGGACAUAGACUCUUUCCUGGCAAUUGAAGGAGGGAGCAAAAAGAAGAAGGAUGUUCAAGCUUCAUAUAUUUUUAAGAAUUACCUUGAGCAAGGUCAUGCUAGAAAAUUUGUGAAGAUAUCUGACUCUGCAUAUGCCAAAGUGUCCAAGGAAAAGGAAAGGCCAAAGACUCCCACAAUCAAGGAAAUCAGAGAUUCUUUGUAUCCAAACAUUGAUGCAACUUUUAAAGAAUUUUGGCAGAAAAAUGAAAGCACAGGCACAGAUCUGAAAAACCUGAACUCCAUGUCAAAGGCAGAGCUAGCCAUGAGGUCUGACAGUGACUUGCAGUUCACUUGGAAAUCUAAAAAAGGAAAACAAAAGAGCACUGGAAGACAUCAACCAACCAAGGAUGACAAGGUGGAGUUUCUCAUGAAUCUGAACCAAUCAGUGCUGGGGCAAAUGCCAAUUAGAAUGUGGUUCUUCUACAAGUAUUUGGUCAAACAUGGAGAGGACGAGAAUGUCCCUCACCUAGAAAAGGAUUUGUUUUUCUACAUUGAAGUUCAGAAAUUCAAGGAGAUGAGUCAUGCAUACUCUGAUGAAGAAUUAUUAAGGCGAAAGGUUGCAACUUUAAAUCUGUGUUACCUGGAAUCCAACAUUCCCCCUGCACUGCAGAUUGGAAUUUCAAAUGACGUUCAUCAGAAGACCUUACGUGCAGUGCAACGUUACCUAGGCAACAAGGAAAUGGUGUCAGCCAUAUUUGAUGAAGCCCAGUAUCAUGUCUUCAAGGAAUUGUUGCCGUGGUGGGCAGGUUUUAUCAGGCAAUACACUCCACCUGCAGAUGAGAAGAAAAGACCAUUGACCAAGCAACAAAAAAUGUUCAAAAAGCGUUUGGAAAUGUUUGAGCAAAUGGAUGUGCCAAAAACCCAGUUUGUUCUUCCUCACAUUCCUCAAGGCAGUGUGCAGGCUUUCUCUUUCUCCCUCAGUGACGGAGUCAAAUGGAGGAAAAAUGUAUCCUAUGAAGAGCAAAUGUUGAUUGGCCUUGGUCCUGCCAUUCAUGUGACAUCAGCGGUAAGAUGAUGACCAUGUUGUCAUCGAGUUACCAUCAUCACAGUUAUGAUUGUUCUUGCAAAUCACUGUAUAACUCAUCAAUUCACCCUUUAAGUACUGACCUUCAGUAAUUUGGCAUUGACAUUUGGUACUUCAUCAGUAAAUGAACGAAAAUUUAUGAAAACUUUACAUGUCUGUGUAUUCUGUCACCAAUUAUCCUUCAGAAUUUAACAACAUGCCAAAUUGUUGAAAUUGUUAAUACUGCAUGUAUGUUCUGGAGAUAUAUGAAAUAUGAAACAGUUUUGGAAAUAAUCUACAAUAAUAAUUGUGCCAUUUCUGUUUGUUUGAGUAUCAUACUCAAGCUUUCAUUUUAUUGGAUUUUCUCAACUGGAUUUUAAAAGCAAGAUAGCAUCUCUGAACAUGCAAGGGAACACAGUACAUAAUUAAGGGUGGCAAUUAACUUCACUUGCUUUAAGCUUGUGCCAGUCACCAGUGAAAUAUAUAUAUGUUCAACACACAUGUAUACUCAUAAUUGUGAUCUCAGAUAUUAUACAUGUACACAUUGUAUUCAAAGAACAUAAUAGGGUACUAUUUUUCAAGAAAGGGAUGUGAUGUCUUUAUUUCUUUGGAUAUGAGCCACAUGGGAUCUAUUUUGAAAAACUUUUAAAAAAGUGUGACUACCUGAUAUUAUGUUUAAAGUUUUAAUAAAAAUAUAUUUCAGGUACUCUUUUAAAAUUCAUUUUAUGAUCCUUGACAUACAAAAAUACCCUGUAUGUUUAAACAAAUAACCUUGGACAAAAAUUUUCUGUCAUGAAAUAAAGCUGAAAUAUCAAAGCUCACAAUUACCCAUUUCUUUAUAAUUACUUUCUCUGAUUAAUAAAAUAUUUAGUGAUACAGUUGUCAAACAAUCUUGUUUUUAAGCUGCUUCUGUUAUUCAUAAUGUCACAAAUGCAAGAGGUUUUAACUAUUAUUGUUGUCAUCUUUUUGAAACCAUGAAAUGAAGAUGACAAAUGUUCACUUUUGGUGUAUAUUAUACAUGUUUUAUUGUAUUCACUGUUUUUUUCUACAGUUUGUACUUUCAGGUGUUUUAUCUUGUGAAUAGGUUGCACACAUGUACAGCUCUUCAUGUAUUGAUAUAUCACUUUUGCUUAUUAAUUUCACAUCACAUUGCUCAAUGAACUAAUCGUUGUAUUUUGUUCAUAUCCAGGUUUUAUAAAAACAUAUGCACUAACUUGAAAAUGUUGCACAUAUUAACAGUUUACAAAAAUGGAAUCCAGGAAGCACAUACAUGUCAAUUCCAGGAUAGUAAAAAAGAAUGGAAUACAUGUGCUUCAUAAUGCUAUCCAUAUACCUUGAAUUUCAGGGUGCUCAUUCAGUGAUGUUGAUAUUCAAGAAAGUCACUGUGAGUGCUCCCAAACUCAGGGUGUAAACAUGAGGUCAAUUCUGCUCUCAGAGAUGGAAAAAAUGUUUACUGGAUUCCCUUUUUUUUAACUUUUAUAUUUGAUUGCGUAUUUGUGCACUCUGUUGGAAUAUUGGGACACAGGUUGGUUGCAGGGUGCUAACAAGUUUGCAUGAAUUUGUGGUAUAGGAUAUGUUUUACAUUUGUGGCACCUAUUGGCACUCAUCGCACCUGUUUUACCCAAAUAAUGUUGUGCUGAUAGAUAAAUACAUGUUUGUUUCAGGAAAUUGAUAAUACUACCCCCCAGCAGAGUGAUGCUGCAACCACCAAAGGAAAUCGACUACGGACAGAUUCACAGCAGUCCAGAGUGAC